rnacentral:tRNA from 1 species
GGAGGGGUGGCCGAGAGGCUUAAGGCGCACGCUUGGAAAGCGUGUGUACGCAAGUACCGUGAGUUCGAAUCUCACCUCCUCCGCCA